rnacentral:tRNA from 2 species
GGGCGCUUAGCUCAGCGGUAGAGCACUUCCUUGACAUGGAAGGGGUCAGAGGUUCGAUCCCUCUAGCGCCCACCA